UACGGGAGGCAGCAGUGGGGAAUAUUGCACAAUGGGCGCAAGCCUGAUGCAGCCAUGCCGCGUGUAUGAAGAAGGCCUUCGGGUUGUAAAGUACUUUCAGUCGUGAGGAAGGUGUUAAGGUUAAUAACCUUAGCAAUUGACGUUAGCGACAGAAGAAGCACCGGCUAACUCCGUGCCAGCAGCCGCGGUAAUACGGAGGGUGCGAGCGUUAAUCGGAAUUACUGGGCGUAAAGGGCACGCAGGCGGUUAAUUAAGUUGGAUGUGAAAUCCCCGGGCUUAACCUGGGAAUGGCAUUCAAGACUGGUUAGCUAGAGUCUUGUAGAGGGGGUAGAAUUCCAUGUGUAGCGGUGAAAUGCGUAGAGAUGUGGAGGAAUACCGGUGGCGAAGGCGGCCCCUGGACAAAGACUGACGCUCAUGUGCGAAAGCGUGGGGAGCAAACAGGAUUGAUACC
rnacentral:rRNA from 1 species